rnacentral:rRNA from 1 species
AUUGAACGCUGGCGGCAUGCCUUACACAUGCAAGUCGAACGGUAACAGGUUAAGCUGACGAGUGGCGAACGGGUGAGUAAUAUAUCGGAACGUGCCCAGUAGUGGGGGAUAGCCCGGCGAAAGCCGGAUUAAUACCGCAUACGACCUACGGGUGAAAGGGGGGGAUCGCAAGACCUCUCGCUAUUGGAGCGGCCGAUAUCAGAUUAGGUAGUUGGUGGGGUAAAGGCCUACCAAGCCUGCGAUCUGUAGUUGGUCUGAGAGGACGACCAGCCACACUGGGACUGAGACACGGCCCAGACUCCUACGGGAGGCAGCAGUGGGGAAUUUUGGACAAUGGGCGCAAGCCUGAUCCAGCAAUGCCGCGUGCAGGAAGAAGGCCUUCGGGUUGUAAACUGCUUUUGUCAGGGAAGAAAUCCUCUGGGUUAAUACCUCGGGGGGAUGACGGUACCUGAAGAAUAAGCACCGGCUAACUACGUGCCAGCCGCCGCAGUAACAC